rfam:Trichuris muris Edinburgh genomic scaffold, scaffold48
GCCCGGCUAUCUCAGUCAGGUGAGCAUGGGACUCUUAAUCCCAGGGUCGUGAGUUCGAGCCCCACAUCGGGCG